CAAACUCAUGUAUUGGACAUUUAUCAAACUUACUGAUUUUUGUUUAUUUUGAUUUUCAUGUGAAUCCCUAAAUCUUGGAUAACAAUCGGACUCCGAUCAUUCAACAAGCAACAGAGGAAAUACCGUAUGAUUUUGCAAGCUUAUUGUGGGAAGGAAAAGUUCCAUAUGGUCAAUGUCUUGAACUUAUUGAUGAUGACUUAUGCAACUGCAUGAGUCUGAAUCUUUUUCGAACACAAGAGAAUUGAUGGAGUGAUAUAAGAAGGUUUCUUUGUUAAUUGAUUAUUCUCUUCCGCUUACAGGGGAUAGCGCUAAGAAUAAGUGCUUUGAUGAACUAAUAGGUGUUUGAAUUUUGUGUUUACUUUGCUCUGCAUAGGGC